UAGGGAAUCUUCCACAAUGGGCGAAAGCCUGAUGGAGCAACGCCGCGUGUGAUGAAGGGUUCCGGCUCGUAAAACACUGUUGUAAGAGAAGAAUGACAUUGAGAGUAACUGUUCAAUGUGUGACGGUAUCUUACCAGAAAGGAACGGCUAAAUACGUGCCAG
rnacentral:rRNA from 1 species